ACUGCUCCCCCGGGCCCACCUCUGGCCCCUUUGAGUCUGGGGCUCUGGCCUCUGGCCUCUGGGGGGACGGGCCCCUCGUGCUCAGGGCCUCCGGGCUGACUGCUUCUAAACGGUGAGGUAGUGUCCAGUGUGGCCGGAGCGGCUGCGAUGGGACCGGGGAAGGAGGGAAGCACAGGAUCUGGUGAGCUCGAGUCCGCUCCGUCCCCAGCACCAGGCAGUGCGGGCGACCCAGGCUGCAGCAGACUGAGCGCCAGGGGCCCGGGCAAGCACCCCGUGAGGAGCGGACCUGCACAGCACCGACCCUGGCCCUCCACCCGCCCGUGCUCACACCGGCCCCGCCUCACCCCCAGGACGCAGGACUGAAUGGGCUUCUGGCCACACACGGGAGGCCCUUCCUGCGACCUGCGCUCAGGCCUCGGCAGGACUUCCUCGGGGACUUGCAGCAGGACCGCAGUGACCGGCCUCCCAGGAAAUGCCAGGCAGCGCCUCAGGUGGGACGGCUCAGGCCUGAAGCUUGAGGUCACUCCCCUGCGCUCUGCCUGAGCCCGGGGAGCUUGCCUGUCCCCCAGGUCCCAGCUCCCCUCGCCCAGCCCCUGCCUGGUGGAGGACAGGUGCCUGGGUUGCAGCCAGGGCAGGGGAGGGGCUGGGGCAGCUGCAGGCAGAGCUGAGGACGGCCCCAGCCCCGGCCACACCCCACACCUGCGGAACAGGCCUGACUGGCGGUUCCGCACCAGCCCCUCUCCUGGUG